rnacentral:rRNA from 1 species
UACGGGGGGGGCAAGCGUUGUUCGGAAUUACUGGGCGUAAAGGGCGCGUAGGCGGCCUGCUAAGUCACACGUGAAAUCCCUCGGCUCAACCGGGGAACUGCGUGUGAUACUGGCGGGCUUGAAUUCGGGAGAGGGAUGUGGAAUUCCAGGUGUAGCGGUGAAAUGCGUAGAUAUCUGGAGGAACACCGGUGGCGAAGGCGGCAUCCUGGACCGACAUUGACGCUGAGGAGCGAAAGCUAGGGGAGCAAACGGG